rnacentral:rRNA from 1 species
CCUACGGGAGACAGCAGUGAGGAAUAUUGGUCAAUGGCCGUAAGGCUGAACGAGCGAAGUCGCGUGAGGGAAGAAGGAUCUAUGGUUUGUAAACUUCUUUUAUAGGGGAAUAAAGGUAUCCACGUGUGGAUGUGUUCAUGUACCCUGUGAAUAAGCAUCGGCUAACUCCGUGCCAGCAGCCGCGGUAAUACGGAGGAUGCGAGCGGUAUCCGGAUUGAUUGGGUUUAAAGGGUGCGUAGGUUGUUUUGUAAGUCAGCGGUGAAAGUUUGUGGCUCAACCAUAAAAUUGCCGUUGAAACUGGAAGACUUGAGUGUGUUUGAGGUAGGCGGAAUGCGUUGUGUAGCGGUGAAAUGCAUAGAUAUCACGCAGAACUCCGAUUGCGAAGGCAGCUUACUAAGCCAUAACUGACACUGAAGCACGAAAGCGUGGGGAUCAAACAGGAUUAGAUACCCUAGUAGUC